rnacentral:rRNA from 2 species
CCACAUGACUCUCGGCAACGGAUAUCUCGGCUCUCGCAUCGAUGAAGAACGUAGCAAAAUGCGAUACCUGGUGUGAAUUGCAGAAUCCCGUGAACCAUCGAGUUUUUGAACGCAAGUUGCGCCCGAGGCCUUCUGGCCGAGGGCACGUCUGCCUGGGCGUCACGC